UUCGGUGGCGAUAGCGGAGAGGACACACCCGUUCCCAUUCCGAACACGGAAGUUAAGCUCUCUUGCGCCGAUGGUACUGCAUGGGUGACUGUGUGGGAGAGUAGGGAGCCGCCGGGA
rnacentral:rRNA from 1 species